UUUAAGACCCAUAUGUCAACUUUUGACAGAUGUCCUAAAAUGAAAUUGGCAGAAUCUAGGAAUUAGCAGGUGUUGUCUUAAAUUCAUCUCAUGAAUUAAGACAUGCUUUUUCUAAGCUAGACAGGCUUUAUUUAGACUGAGAAAAAUCUUUCUAAGAUUCUCUGGAUGAGUCAAAUUAUAUUUGGCUCAGUAGAGACAGAAAAGAUUACACGAGAAGAAAGUUAGGCUCAAUCGUGUGAUAGCACGAUUUUCUUGAACCUAGUUGGAUCUUAUCCAAAUCAAUUGGGUUAG
rnacentral:lncRNA from 1 species